GUGAAUCGAUAGUAAAGUUGUGAUUGCGUUAUUCGUUUUCUUGCACGUAUCUCUCUACUAUAUUUAUCUAAUCACAAAAUCAAGGUUUCCUGAUAUAGAUAAGUGUUUUAAUUAGGUAGGUUACUAAUUGAAUGAUUUAUAAAUUGUCUUGUUAUCUAAUAGGCUGAUUAAAUAAGUAUCUGACUACAGAAAUUGCAAUUCCGUUAGUUAAAUUCCCAUAUGGCUAAAACUUUUGUGUAUGAUUUGCAUGUGUUUUCAACUUUUUUGGGUGCCCGAUUGUUUUCUCGUUUAAAUGACCCGUGGCGCAUGAAUCCUUGGACUCCACUCGCAUCUUGAAAGCUUGCUAGAGAUAAUGGAUAUGCUCGCAAUGAUGAGUAUUGUUUUUAUUUAUUAGUAUUUAUACGCUAUUAGGUAUACCGCACUGUCUUCUGCUACAUUUUGUGCCAAAGACCGAUAACAGGUUAUAACAUUUUUAACCGACUUCAAAAAAAGGAGGAGGUUCUCAAUUCAUCGAAUCUUUUUUUUUAACACCUAGAAUUUUCAACAUAUAUUUUAAUCUUCCGUAAUUUUUUUUUGUCAAAGCAAACGGCCGGCCAGGCCAUACAUAGAUUGGAUAUUAAGUUUUUUUCCAUCUAACUUAGCGUAGUAUCGUAUAACCCAAGCAACUAAAUGGCGGCAAUAAGGCCUGUUUACUCAUACAUAUUAUGAAACAUCCGUAGUGUAUGUAAAAGAAGUUGUUACCAGAAAUGCAAGAAACUUAGGAUUUUUAUAGCGCAAUGCAGAACCAAUUUGGUAAAUGUGUUGAAUAGUUAAUAAUAAUUUGUCAAAACUUUUUUAAUACUAUUUCUUAAGCAUUGUACCUAUGCAAUUCCUAAAUAAUACUAAAAAACUUAAGUAUAAAAAAUAACGUAAUAUUGUUAUAACAGAAAAGUCGUUAUGUCGUUCUUUCAUUCAGAAGCUGAAUGAAAGGACAAAGCCGAACUUUAUUUAAAAAAAAUGAAAUACUUAAUAUUUUUCGUUUAUGCCUUGUGUCGUCAUCAAUCGUCUUCCGUACAUCGUGACGUUAAUAUAAUAAAUUAUGUUAUAAAUAAGAGAAAAUAAUGACAUUUAUUUAAUUAUUCUUCUUAAUAAUUAAUGUUUGCCCCAUAAACUAUCGCUAUACAAAACAUCACAUUGUAUUACUACAGUCCAAGACUGUACGGAUGAGCCAUGAAAAGCUGACAGACAGACAGGAUAGUAUGGAUAUGGAUGAUGGAUUAAGUACAUACAUUUCUGGUAACAUAAUAUUAUACAAUAGAAUAUACAAAUCGCCACUAGCAUUUCGGUUUUUUAGGUGCGGGUUGUAGUCAUAAUUUAAUUAAUUUUCAUUAACUUGACAUUGAAUAAAAGAGGUCAAACAAGGCAAUUAUUUCGGUACUAUUUUUGGAAUAGCUACUGUACAACAGUUGCUGUAUGGGUACUGAACAGCGCGAUUAAAUGCUUUUAUAUUAUAUAUGUAUAACAUGCUAUUUUAUAUUACUUAGGUAUGUUAAUUUUUAAAUUUUCGGCUUUUCGUGUUGUGAUAUUUUAAUAGUAUAGCUUCUGGAUAUGGCUGUUGACGAAAUGAAUUGUCUCUAGGACAAUGUAGAAACUACAUUUACAUAAUUCGUUUUUUAUAGUUUGUUUGUUUUAGGGUUCCGUAACUCAAAA